AACGAACGCUGGCGGCAGGCCUAACACUUGCAAGUCGAGCGAGGACUUCGGUCCUAGCGGCGGACGGGUGAGUAACGCGUGGGAACGUGCCCCUUGGUACGGAAUAGCCCCGGGAAACUGGGAGUAAUACCGUAUGAGCUCUACGGAGGAAAGAUUUAUCGCCAAGGGAUCGGCCCGCGUUGGAUUAGGUAGUUGGUGGGGUAAUGGCCUACCAAGCCGACGAUCCAUAGCUGGUUUGAGAGGAUGAUCAGCCACACUGGGACUGAGACACGGCCCAGACUCCUACGGGAGGCAGCAGUGGGGAAUCUUAGACAAUGGGCGCAAGCCUGAUCUAGCCAUGCCGCGUGAGCGAUGAAGGCCUUAGGGUUGUAAAGCUCUUUCAGCUGGGAAGAUAAUGACUGUACCAGCAGAAGAAGCCCCGGCUAACUCCGUGCCAGCCGCCGCCGUAAAAC
rnacentral:rRNA from 1 species